rnacentral:rRNA from 1 species
GGACUACUCGGGUAUCUAAUCCUGUUUGCUCCCCACGCUUUCGCGCCUCAGCGUCAGUAACGGGCCAGUGAGCCGCCUUCGCCACUGGUGUUCUACCGAAUAUCUACGAAUUUCACCUCUACACUCGGUGUUCCGCUCACCUCUCCCGUACUCAAGAUGUCCAGUAUCAAAGGCAGUUCCAAGGUUGAGCCCUGGGCUUUUACCUCUGACUUAGACAUCCGCCUACGCGCCCUUUACGCCCAGUAAUUCCGAGCAACGCUAGCCCCCUUCGUAUUACCGCGGCUGCUGGCAC